rnacentral:rRNA from 1 species
UUCGGUGGGGAUUAGUGGCGAACGGGUGAGUAACACSUGGGCAAUCUGCCCUUCACUCUGGGACAAGCCCUGGAAACGGGGUCUAAUACCGGAUAACACUCCUGCCUGCAUGGGCGGGGGUUAAAAGCUCCGGCGGUGAAGGAUGAGCCCGCGGCCUAUCAGCUUGUUGGUGAGGUAACGGCUCACCAAGGCGACGACGGGUAGCCGGCCUGAGAGGGCGACCGGCCACACUGGGACUGAGACACGGCCCAGACUCCUACGGGAGGCAGCAGUGGGGAAUAUUGCACAAUGGGCGAAAGCCUGAUGCAGCGACGCCGCGUGAGGGAUGACKGCCUUCGGGUUGUAAACCUCUUUCAGCAGGGAAGAAGCGAAAGUGACGGUACCUGCAGAAGAAGCGCCGGCUAACUACGUGCCAGCAGCCGCGGUAAUACGUAGGGCGCAAGCGUUGUCCGGAAUUAUUGUUGCGUAAAGAGCUCGUAGGCGGCUUGUCACGUCGGUUGUGAAARCCCGGGRRCUUAACCCCGGGUCUGCAGUCGAUACGGGCAGGCUAGAGUUCGGUAGGGGAGAUCGGAAUUCCUGGUGUAGCGGUGAAAUGCGCAGAUAUCAGAGGAACACCGGU